rnacentral:rRNA from 1 species
AAUGCGGGACCGGCCAACCAGGAGAUNGGUUUAUUGAGCACGNGAAGACCCUNCCUAGGCUUGACAUUAGAGGACGAUGCCAGAAUGGUAUUUUCCGCAAGGACCUCUAUACAGGUGCUGCAUGGCUGUUGUCAGCUCGUCCGUGAGGUGUGGGUUAAGUCCCGCAACGAGCGCAACCCUUAUCGUUAGUUGCCAACAGUAAGAUGGGGACUCUAACGAGACUGCCUGGGUGAACCAGGAGGAAGGUGAGGAUGACGUCAAGUCCGCAUGGCCCUUAUGCCUAGGGCUACACACGUGCUACAAUGGUCGGUACAGAAGGCAGCAAAGCCGCGAGGUGGAGCAAAUCCGCGAAAACCGAUCUCAGUUCGAAUUGUAGUCUGCAACUCGACUACAUGAAGUUGGAAUUGCUAGUAAUGGCGUGUCAGCAACAACGCCGUGAAUACGUUCCCGGGUCUUGUACACACCGCCCGUCACAUCAUGGAAGUUGGUUUUACCCGAAGUCACUGACUCAACCGUAAGGGGAGAGGGCCGAAGGGAGGCCGNAGACUGG